AGAGCUCGUAGGCGGUUUGUCGCGUCUGCUGUGAAAUCCCGAGGCUCAACCUCGGGUCUGCAGUGGGUACGGGCAGACUAGAGUGCGGUAGGGGAGAUUGGAAUUCCUGGUGUAGCGGUGGAAUGCGCAGAUAUCAGGAGGAACACCGAUGGCGAAGGCAGAUCUCUGGGCCGCUACUGACGCUGAGGAGCGAAAGGGUGGGGAGCAAACAGGCUUAGAUACCCUGGUAGUCCACCCCGUAAACGUUGGGCGCUAGAUGUGGGGACCAUUCCACGGUUUCCGUGUCGUAGCUAACGCAUUAAGCGCCCCGCCUGGGGAGUACGGCCGCAAGGCUAAAACUCAAAGGAAUUGACGGGGGCCCGCACAAGCGGCGGAGCAUGCGGAUUAAUUCGAUGCAACGCGAAGAACCUUACCAAGGCUUGACAUAUACGAGAACGGGCCAGAAAUGGUCAACUCUUUGGACACUCGUAAACAGGUGGUGCAUGGUUGUCGUCAGCUCGUGUCGUGAGAUGUUGGGUUAAGUCCCGCAACGAGCGCAACCCUCGUUCUAUGUUGCCAGCACGUAAUGGUGGGAACUCAUGGGAUACUGCCGGGGUCAACUCGGAGGAAGGUGGGGACGACGUCAAAUCAUCAUGCCCCUUAUGUCUUGGGCUUCACGCAUGCUACAAUGGCCAGUACAAAGGGCUGCAAUACCGUAAGGUGGAGCGAAUCCCAAAAAGCUGGUCCCAGUUCGGAUUGAGGUCUGCAACUCGACCUCAUGAAGUCGGAGUCGCUAGUAAUCGCAGAUCAGCAACGCUGCGGUGAAUACGUUCCCGGGCCUUGUACACACCGCCCGUCAAGUCAUGAAAGUCGGUAACACCCGAAGCCAGUGGCCUAACCGCAAGGAUGGAGCUGUCU
rnacentral:rRNA from 1 species